CCUACGGGGGGCUGCAGUAGGGAAUAUUGCUCAAUGGGGGAAACCCUGAAGCAGCAACGCCGCGUGGAGGAUGAAGGUUUUAGGAUUGUAAACUCCUUUUGUUAGGGAAGAUUAUGACGGUAUCUAACGAAUAAGCACCGGCUAACUCCGUGCCAGCAGCCGCGGUAAUACGGAGGGUGCAAGCGUUACUCGGAAUCACUGGGCGUAAAGAGUGCGUAGGAGGGGUAAUAAGUCAGAUGUGAAAGCCUGUGGCUUAACUACAGAACUGCAUUUGAAACUGUUACUCUGGAGUGUGGGAGAGGUAGGUGGAAUUCUUGGUGUAGGGGUAAAAUCCGUAGAGAUCAAGAGGAAUACUCAUUGCGAAGGCGACCUGCUGGAACAUUACUGACGCUGAUGCACGAAAGCGUGGGGAGCAAACAGGAUUAGAUACCCUAGUAGUC
rnacentral:rRNA from 1 species